ensembl:lncRNA
CUGUGAAGUGCGUUCACAAGAGUUCUAACAGUUCGGACAUUGCGUGAAUCAGAGGUAAAAAAAACUAUAUCAAUACUGUUCAGUUUCUUGCACAGACCGAUCGUUUUGUGUCUUUACACAUCAAUGUAUCGUCACGAGAUGCAGGGUUUAAUUUGGAUUUUUCUGUGCAUGUUUUUUCUCUCUCAUAGAUUCUGUGACCAUUGCCAUGUAUAGUGCAACUGAGAGACUGCAACAACUGAAGCUAAAAAUCAUAAUUUGUGUUCUACUGAAGAAACAAAGUCACCUACAUCUUGGGUGCCCUGGGGCACUGGACCUGCUGAUGCUGAGAGAGUGAACCAGAGAGCCAGAAAGGUUUCAGGAAAACAUUUAUUUUCAAACCCUUCUGAAGCAGAUGCCAUUCCUGUCGCAGUCCUCCCAGCUGCUUGUCCUAUGUGCAGUCUGGAUGCCUGCAUACAUGGCCAGUCCUAGGCUAUAUCAUAUUCACUGUAUUCAAAGUAGACUUU